GACGAACGCUGGCGGCGUGCUUAACACAUGCAAGUCGAACGGAAAGGCCCUGCUUUUGUGGGGUGCUCGAGUGGCGAACGGGUGAGUAACACGUGAGUAACCUGCCCUUGACUUUGGGAUAGCUUCAGGAAACUGGGGCUAAUACCGGAUAGGAGCUCCUGCUGCAUGGUGGGGGUUGGAAAGUUUCGGCGGUUGGGGAUGGACUCGCGGCUUAUCAGCUUGUUGGUGGGGUAGUGGCUUACCAAGGCUUUGACGGGUAGCCGGCCUGAGAGGGUGACCGGCCACAUUGGGACUGAGAUGCGGCCCAGACUCCUACGGGAGGCAGCAGUGGGGAAUAUUGCACAAUGGGCGGAAGCCUGAUGCAGCAACGCCGCGUGCGGGAUGACGGCCUUCGGGUUGUAAACCGCUUUCGCCUGUGACGAAGCGUGAGUGACGGUAAUGGGUAAAGAAGCACCGGCUAACUACGUG
rnacentral:rRNA from 1 species